rnacentral:rRNA from 1 species
AUUGAACGCUGGCGGCAUGCCUUACACAUGCAAGUCGAACGGCAGCGCGGACUUCGGUCUGGCGGCGAGUGGCGAACGGGUGAGUAAUACAUCGGAACGUACCCUGUUGUGGGGGAUAACUAGUCGAAAGAUUAGCUAAUACCGCAUACGACCUGAGGGUGAAAGUGGAGGACCGCAAGGCCUCACGCAGCAGGAGCGGCCGAUGUCUGAUUAGCUAGUUGGUGGGGUAAAGGCCCACCAAGGCGACGAUCAGUAGCUAGUCUGAGAGGACGAUCAGCCACACUGGGACUGAGACACGGCCCAGACUCCUACGGGAGGCAGCAGUGGGGAAUUUUGGACAAUGGGGGCAACCCUGAUCCAGCAAUGCCGCGUGUGUGAAGAAGGCCUUCGGGUUGUAAAGCACUUUUGUCCGGAAAGAAAUCGCGCUGGUUAAUACCUGGCGUGGAUGACGGUACCGGAAGAAUAAGCACCGGCUAACUACGUG